UGGUGGAGUGAUUUGUCUGGUUAAUUCCGUUAACGAACGAGACCUCAGCCUGCUAACUAGUUGGCUUAAAACCCUAAAGCCGGCCGUCUGCCUCACUCUGGAUGGGGAUGCAGCAAUGCGUUCCUGUCUGGGGAGGGGUGGUUGGCCGGAAAACUUAGGCUAACUUCUUAGAGGGACUGUCGGUGUUUAGCCGUACGGAAGUUUGAGGCAAUAACA
rnacentral:rRNA from 1 species